rnacentral:misc_RNA from 1 species
UGAUUAAAUAAUUGAUUUUGUCAAUUAUCUCUGUAUUAGAGCCAUUAGUAUUUCGGGAACAGGCCUUUAGUAUCUUUAUAUUGAUUGAUAUCUGACUAUAAAAUUUAUUGAUGUGUUACACUGAAUUUAUUUGAGAUUGAUUUGAUCUUAUUGACUUUCUGAAAUUAUUGAAAUAAACUAUUGGAAUUGCAUUAUUAGCUAUUAUUUGCUAUCUGAAAUUUUU